rnacentral:rRNA from 1 species
UACGGAGGGUGCAAGCGUUAAUCGGAAUUACUGGGCGUAAAGCGCGCGUAGGUGGUUCAGUCAGUCAGAUGUGAAAUCCCCGGGCUCAACCUGGGAAUUGCACCUGAUACUGCUGAGCUAGAGUACAGUAGAGGGGAGUGGAAUUUCCUGUGUAGCGGUGAAAUGCGUAGAUAUAGGAAGGAACACCAGUGGCGAAGGCGACUCUCUGGACUGAUACUGACACUGAGGUGCGAAAGCGUGGGGAGCAAACAGG